rnacentral:rRNA from 1 species
UUGACCUCGGAUCAGGUAGGAUUACCCGCUGAACUUAAGCAUAUCAAUAAGCGGAGGAAAAGAAACCAACAGGGAUUGCCCCAGUAACGGCGAGUGAAGCGGCAACAGCUCAGAUUUGGAAUCUGGCCUUCGGGCCCGAGUUGUAAUCUGGAGAGGAUGCUUCUGGCGCGGUGCCUUCCGAGUUCCCUGGAACGGGACGCCGGAGAGGGUGAGAGCCCCGUACGGUUGGACACCUAGCCUCUGUGAAGCUCCUUCGACGAGUCGAGUAGUUUGGGAAUGCUGCUCAAAAUGGGAGGUAAAUUUCUUCUAAAGCUAAAUAUUGGCCAGAGACCGAUAGCGCACAAGUAGAGUGAUCGAAAGAUGAAAAGCACUUUGAAAAGAGAGUUAAAAAGUACGUGAAAUUGUUGAAAGGGAAGCGCCCGUGGCCAGACUUGCGCCGCGCGGACCACCCAGCGUUCUCGCUGGUGCACUCCGCGCGGCGCAGGCCAGCAUCGGUUUUCCUAGGGGGAUAAAGGUCGCGGGAACGUAGCUCCUCCGGGAGUGUUAUAGCCCGUGGCGUCAUGCCCCUGGGGGGACCGAGGACCGCGCUUCGGCAAGGAUGCUGGC